rfam:Pichia sorbitophila strain CBS 7064 chromosome K complete sequence.
AUCUCUUUGCCAUUUGGCUUAGAUCAAGUGUAGUAUCUGUUCUUUUCAGUGUAACAGCUGAAACGUCAUCAUUGAUGACUUUAGAAUGUUACAAAGGUUUUUGGAAAAAUUGCCGGAAAGCUUGAUGAGCUUGCUCACACUUUCCAGCACAGUGUCGUUGCCAUUGCACAUUAAGGCUUCUGACGCAACUUUUU